GCCCGUUCCAAUGGCAACUCUGCCAAGGCGCCUAUGAGAGCCUCUUGGCUUUUACCUGGUCUGCGAGAAAUCAAACUUUGGGCACAAGUCAUGAAGCCGACAAGCCCGGGAGACACAGUGUCAGAAUUACAAGGUGAGAUCAGCCGCCCGGCCAAGCUAUCUUCUCGCUAGCAGGAACACUACAAGGCCUGUUAGAGAAGAAAGGGUAGAAUCCCGAGAAUGUUUUCCCCACAGUGCUGAUAAGGAGAGACCACUAUCCCAUCUACUGCUACAGCUCUGGAGACAGAGCUCUCCCACCUGUCAUAUAGAACACAAGGACCAAUCUGCAGAGAAAGAGCAUCCAAACCUGAUCCAGUGGACACUGGGGAAAAACUCACCACAGCUGAGUGUGGAAAAACAAGGCCAACACACACAUCUCUGCACAGAUACAUCUCCCAUAAAGAAACUAAAGUGUUAAUUUACAGGGCACUGUUGCAGACCCACUUCAGCUGGAAGCUAGGAACAUGGACAAGGAGCCUCUCUACCACCAAGGGAGAGAGAGGAAUGUGCUCUUGUCCUGGCAUUGCAUCCACAGGAGGGGCAGGAAAUUCUUUGAAGCUGUCAUCAGACUUACAGCCAACACCUUCCUUCUCUUCCACAUCUUCACAACCCUUCUGGAUCACAAGCCUAAGUCCACUGACCACAUCACCUGUCACCUGGACCUUGCACACUUAGUGAUGCUCCUCAUUGCGGUCUUCUUGGCAUCUCCAGACCUGUUUAAGUAACUACAUUUGCAGAAUAACUUAAAGUGCAAGGCAUUUUUCUACAUGUACAGGGUGAUGAGGAGCCUCUCCAGCUCCAUCACCUUUCUCCUGACUGUGCUCCAGGUCAUCACCAUCAGCCCCAGCACCUCCUGGUUGGUGAAGACUAAACAGAAAUUCACAGGUUACAUUUUCUACUCCUGUUUCUUCCUAUGGGUUCUCAGUUUGUCUCUCAGUAGUAACCUGCUUUCCCCCACUGUGGCUUCUUCUAAAGUGACCAAGACUGAUGUGCUAAGUAUCAGUAAAUACUGCUCACUUUCUUACAUAAGCUACAUCUUCUAAUAUGACAAAGACUGAUGUGCUAAGUUGUGCUUUAUUUCUUGUCAUUCUAUUAUUCCUAUACAUAUAAUUACAUUCAUAUUGCUAUUAUUUUCUCUUUUUUAUAUGGUUGUAUUCAUUCUGCUGAAAACUCCAGUUCACUAAUCCAGUUCACUAAUUCUGUCGUCAACUCAGUCUAAUUUUAUAUUUAACUCACAUAUUGUAUAUUAAAUUUAUUUACUUUUAAAUUAUUCCACUUAUAUUUGUCUCUUUUCCAAAUUUGCUUGUUCAGUUUAUAGUUCCCUGCUGUUUCAAAAUUAUUUCGAUAUCCUCUUUUCCCCACUUGUUUUGACUUAAAGAUUUAAAAUAUAUAUCCGGCCAAGCACAGUGGCUCAUGCCUGUAAUCCCAAUACUUUGGGAGGCCGAGGCAGGCAGAUCACUUGAUGUCAGGAGUUUGAGACUAGCCUGGCCAACAUGGUGAAACUUUGUCUGCAGUAAAAAUACAAAAAUUUAGAUGGGCGUCGUGGUGGGCGCCUGUAGUCUUAGCUACUCGGGAGGCUGAGGCAGGAGAAUCACUUGAACUCGGGAGGUGGAGGUUGCAGUGAGCUGAGAUCACGCCAAUGCACUCCAGCCUGGGCAACAGACUGAGACUAUCUCAAAAAAAUAAUAUAGGUAUUUCCAAUAUGCCAAGUUUAUGCAGUGUCUAAUUUCUUCUUACCCCUUUUCCUGGUACCUCAUUUUCUUCUGUGCUUCAUACUUUUAAUGAAUUAAUUUUUGCAACAGGAUCUGGUUUAUUCUGCCUUGGCAGGGUGGUCCUGAGAGUGGCAGGUGCCACCCUCUUCUGGGCAAAGGGAGGUCCAGAAGGCCAGUUAGGGCCAAUGGUGGGAGAACCUGGGGGUGGAGUGGGGUUGGGGAUUUGGGCUACAGCCCCUGGAAUGUGGUGAAACCAGGAUGAGGCCCAGAGGCAGCUGUGGUAGGCCAGGGCAGGGCGGAAGGCACUGGACUGGAACCAGGCAAGGUCUACAGGGCCAAGAUCCCAGGCCACACGGGCACCCUGGGAGGCGGAGCACAGUGUCCCAUGACACAGAGCAUGAAACACAGGCCCAGGGCUCACAGUAAGCACAUGAACAAGUGGACACAGAUUCACAGGCCAGUUGACAUCCAGCCAUGGUGGGACCAGAGGUAGACACGGUGUCACAUACAGACCACAGGGAAGACAUGGCACAAUGGGACAGAUGGAUGUGAUGGCCACAAUGCACAGACCAGGCCACAGAGCUC
rnacentral:lncRNA from 1 species